rnacentral:rRNA from 1 species
UACGUAGGGACCGAGCGUUGUCCGGAAUCAUUGGGCGUAAAGAGCGUGUAGGCGGCCACUUAAGUCCUGCGUGAAAUCUUGCGGCUCAACCGCAAGCGGUCGUGGGAAACUGGGUGGCUAGAGUGCGGGAGAGGAGAGUGGAAUUCCUGGUGUAGCGGUGGAAUGCGCAGAUAUCAGGAAGAAUACCCGUGGCGAAGGCGGCUCUCUGGAACGCAACUGACGCUGAGACGCGAAAGCGUGGGGAGCAAACAGG